CUGCAACCGCUACAAGUGAGGGAAGCGUCGUGUAAGCCUAAAUAGCCGCCAGAGUGUAAACCCCGCGCAGUGAAUGUGUGGUGUCUCCUCGGGUUUCUCGACGUACUCUGAUUGAACGGCACAGGAAUGCAGGCCCGUUACCUCAUCUGCGCCGUCCUGCUGGCUGUUCUGGUCAUUUGUGCCGCCGAAGAGCACGCUCUCUUUCGGGAGCGGCGGGCUUCACGCUGUGGGAAAAACCAGUCGUACCAAAGAUGCGGGCCUCCAUGCGAGAACAUCUGCGGUCAACCAGAAGAUCGAAAAUGUAGAGUCGCGACAUGCCAUGCCAAGUGCGUCUGCCUUAGGGGUCAUGUCCGUACUGCCGAGGGAGACUGCAUCACCCAUCAACAGUGCCGCAAGAAGAAAGGAUGAGCACGCGCGGACGAUUAAAACAGCCGUCUUGUUGAAGGACACCUAGUUACACAGCG
rnacentral:lncRNA from 1 species